rnacentral:rRNA from 1 species
CGAUGCAGCCUAGCUUGCUAGGGUGGAUUAGUGGCGAACGGGUGAGUAACACGUGAGUAACCUGCCCUUGACUCUGGGAUAAGCCUGGGAAACUGGGUCUAAUACCGGAUACGACCAUUGCCCGCAUGGGUUGGUGGUGGAAAGCUUUUGUGGUUUUGGAUGGACUCGCGGCCUAUCAGCUUGUUGGUGAGGUAAUGGCUCACCAAGGCGACGACGGGUAGCCGGCCUGAGAGGGUGACCGGCCACACUGGGACUGAGACACGGCCCAGACUCCUACGGGAGGCAGCAGUGGGGAAUAUUGCACAAUGGGCGAAAGCCUGAUGCAGCGACGCCGCGUGAGGGAUGACGGCCUUCGGGUUGUAAACCUCUUUCAGUAGGGAAGAAGCGAGAGUGACGGUACCUGCAGAAGAAGCGCCGGCUAACUACGUGCCAGCAGCCGCGGUAAUACGUAGGGCGCAAGCGUUAUCCGGAAUUAUUGGGCGUAAAGAGCUCGUAGGCGGUUUGUCGCGUCUGCUGUGAAAGGCCAGGG